rnacentral:sRNA from 1 species
CACCUCUAGAAGCUAGAAGAAAGGGAUGUGUUUCUCAGCUAUGUUAGGGCAGAGGAUUCUGGGAGCAAGGAGUUGGGCUUGCAGGCCUGUGUUCUUCCCUGGCCACACCCUCUACAUCUUCCCAAUAAAUGGCCCAGUGUCACAGAACAGGCAGGAAAUGAGGCCCCAACUCAGUCUGCUUCCUGAGUUGGGGGUGGUGAAGGGCAAGGUCCAGCCUUAUGAUUCCCACUCCCCAGGGCCAGCCAAGUCUCGGGAUGGUGAACGUACCGUCUAUUGCAACGUACACAAGCAUGAACCCCUUGUGCUGUUUUGUGAGAGCUGUGAUACUCUCACCUGCCGAGACUGCCAGCUCAAUGCCCACAAGGACCACCAGUACCAGUUCUUAGAGGAUGCAGUGAGGAACCAGCGCAAGCUCCUGGCCUCACUGGUGAAGCGCCUUGGGGACAAACAUGCAACAUUGCAGAAGAGCACCAAGGAGGUUCGCAGCUCGUGUCCGACGUACAGAAGCGUGUGCAAGUGGAUGUCAAGAUGGCCAUCCUGCAGAUCAUGAAGGAGCUGAAUAAGCGGGGCCGUGUGCUGGUCAACGAUGCCCAGAAGGUGACUGAGGGGCAGCAGGAGCGCCUGGAGCGGCAGCACUGGACCAUGACCAAGAUCCAGAAGCACCAGGAGCACAUUCUGCGCUUUGCCUCUUGGGCUUUGGAGAGUGACAACAACACAGCCCUUCUGCUUUCUA